rnacentral:lncRNA from 13 species
ACAGGUGUUACAUCUCAGAGUGCUGAAGAAAUCUGCCAAUUUGAUAUCUGAGCAGCCAUCACUGUACACUGAAAAAUCCUAAAGGAAGGAAAACGUGCCAAGAUCUAAAAAGGAGUGGGAGCUUCCUGAGGCCUCAGCAGAAGUUGAGAAGAUGCUUGUGCCAUGCUUGUACAUCCUACAGAAAUGUAAGCCAAAUUAACCUCUUAUCUUUAUAAAUUAUU